rnacentral:tRNA from 1 species
UCCCUGGUGGCUCAGUGGUAAAGAAUCUGCCUGCUAUGCAGGAAACCUGGGUUUGAUCCCUAGGUUGGGAA